CAUGGAUGGCAUCAUGGGUAGCAGAGGUUGAGGGAGACAGCCCGGGUCUCUGGCAGUGUGAGCAGUACUGGACAUCCCAGCUCAGACAUGUGACCAUUCUCCUUGAACACAGCCAGCACCCGUCUGAUUAGGAGCAGAACCUUCUGGUUGACUGGUACACGGAGAAGAUGAGCACUUUACCCACUGCGCCUUGGUCCAAUCGUUACGACGCCCGUGACAGCCGUAGCUCUUUUCUGAUGAGAAACUGGAAGCCAUUCUGAGGGUGUUGGAGCUGCAGUGAUGGGCUUCCUGUCUGCCUCUAAAUCAUCCUCUGAUUGACAGCUCAAGCCCUCUAUGGACUGUACCCAUGUUGAAUUACUAAUGAUGCAUUUUGUAGUGGUAACUUCAGGUAAGAUAAGGCCUAUUAUCUAUUUUUCUGUUAAUAAAUUAAAUCAAUUUAACCAUUCAAAAUGGUGGUGCGUCUUUUUAGUGAGAUCGCUCUAUGGAAAAUAAAGAGUAUUUCAGUGA